UACGUAGGCAGCAAGCGUUGUUCGGAGUUACUGGGCGUAAAGGGUGUGUAGGCGGUUGUUUAAGUUUGGUGUGAAAUCUCCCGGCUCAACUGGGAGGGUGCGCCGAAUACUGAAUGACUAGAGUGCGGGAGAGGAAAGUGGAAUUCCUGGUGUAGCGGUGAAAUGCGUAGAUAUCAGGAGGAACACCGGUGGUGUAGACGGCUUUCUGGGCCGUAACUGACGCUGAGACACGAAAGCGUGGGUAGCAAACAGG
rnacentral:rRNA from 1 species